GAAGACACAACUGAGAUUACGGGAAAAGAAGCAAUUUGGCUGCUGCAAAGUUGUUUGAGUCCUUGCUGAGGAGCUGAAAAGAUGAAGAUACUCUGCAUUUUCGUGUCUGCUUCACUUCUGUGACAUCAGCUUCGGAAAGGGGUGCAACUCUGCACUGUUGAGAGACUGGGACUUUCCAGGAUCAGACGUCCGAGUCAUUUUUUCUCCUGAUGCUGAACACUGUCAGCAACUCUGCACCCAAGAGUCGUCUUGUCUUUUUUGGGC